rnacentral:lncRNA from 8 species
CACUAUACCUAUACACACUAUACACUACACCUAUACACUAUACCUAUACACACUAUACACUACACCUAUACACUACACUAUACCUAUACACACUAUACACUACACCUAUACACUACACCUAUACACACUAUACACUACACCUAUACACACUAUACACUACACCUAUACACUAUACCUAUACACACUAUACACUAUACCUAUACACACUAUACACUAUACCUAUACACACUAUACACUAUACCUAUACACACUAUACACUACACCUAUACACACUAUACACUACACCUAUACACUAUACCUAUACACACUAUACACUACACCUAUACACACUAUACACUACACCUAUACACACUAUACACUACACCUAUUGACACUAUACACUACACCUAUACACUAUAUCUAUACACACUAUACACUAUACCUUUACACUACACCUAUACACUACACCUAUACACACUAUACACUACACCUAUACACACUAUACACUACACCUAUACACACUAUACACUAUACCUAUACACACUAUACACUACACCUAUACACUAUACCUAUACACUACACUAUACCUAUACACACACCUAUACACUACACUAUACCUACACCUAUACACUACACCUAUACACACUAUACACUACACCUAUACACUACACCUAUACACUAUACCUAUACACACUAUACACUACACCUAUACACACUAUACACUACACCUUAUACACUACCUACACUAUACCUAUACACACUUUACACUACACCUAUACACUAUACCUAUACACACUAUACACUACACCUAUACACACUAUACACUAUACCUAUACACACUAUACACUACACUAUACCUAUACACACUAUACACUACACCCCAUACACUACACCUAUACACUACACUAUACCUAUACACACUACACCUAUACACUACACCUAUACACACUAUACACUACACCUAUACACUACACCUAUACACACUAUACACUACUUAUACACUAUACCUAUACACACUAUACACUACACACUAUACACUACACUUAUACACUAUACCUAUACACACUAUACACCUAUACACACUAUACACUACACCUAUACACACUAUACACUAUACACUACACUAUACCUAUACACCUAUACACACUAUACCUAUACACUACACCUAUACACUACACCUAUACACACUAUACACUACACCUAUACACACUAUACCUAAACACACUAUACACUACACCUAUACACUACACCUAUAGACACUAUACACUAUACCUAUACACACUAUACACUACACCUAUACACUACACCUAUACACACUACACCUAUACACACUAUACACUACACCUAUAUACACUAUACACUAUACCUAUACACUACACCUAUACACACUAUACACUACACCUAUACACUACACUAUACCUAUACACACUAUACACUACACCUAUACACACUAUACACUACACUUAUACACUAUACCUAUACACACUAUACACUAUACCUAUACACACUAUACACUAUACCUAUACACACUAUACACUACACCUAUACACUACACCUAUAUACACUAUACCUAUACACACUAUACCUAUACACUACACCUAUACACUACACCUAUACACUACACUAUACCUAUAUACACUAUACCUAUACACACUACACACUAUACACUACACUUAUACACUAUACCUAUACACACUAUACACCUAUACACACUAUACACUACACCUAUACACACUAUACACUACACCUAUACACUACACCUAUACACUAUACCUAUACACACUAUACACCUAUACACACUAUACACUACACCUAUACACACUAUACACUAUACACUACACCUAUACACUACACCUAUACACUAUACACUACACUAUACCUAUAUACACUAUACCUAUACACACUAUACACUAUACCUAUACACACUAUACACUACACCUAUACACUAUACACACUACACCUUUACACACUAUACACUAUACCUGUACACCUAUACACUACACCUAUACACACUAUACACUACACCUAUACACCUAUACACACUAUACACUAUACCUAUUUACACUAUACACUACACCUAUGCACACUAUACACUACACACUACACACUAUACACUACACCUCUACACUGCACCUAUACACACUAUACACUGCACUUAUACACUAUACCUAUACACACUAUACACUAUACCUAUACACACUAUACACUACACACUAUACACUACACUUAUACACUAUACCUAUACACCUAUACACACUAUACACUACACCUAUACACUACACCUAUACACACUAUACACUACACCUAUACACACUAUACACUACACUAUACCUAUACACACUAUACACUACACCUAUACACUAUACACACUACACCUAUACACACUAUACACUAUACCUAUUUACACUAUACACUACACCUAUGCACACUAUACACUACACACUAUACACUACACCUCUACACUACACCUAUACACACUAUACACUACACUUAUACACUAUACCUAUACACACACUCCCAAAGUGUUCUUUCAUUGUAGCUACAGACCCGUAA